UUUAACACAGCCAAUGUCGUGCUUCUGCCUAAAAAGGACGGUGCGGAGUCCAUAUCGGAUUUCAGGCCCAUCAGUCUCAUCCAUGUGGUUCCGAAGAUCAUCACCAAAGCUAUGGCACUAUGUCUUAGCCCGAAGAUGAACGACAUUGUUUCCUGCAGUCAGAGCGCUUUCAUCAAGUCUAGAACUAUCCACGACAAUUUCUUAUACGUCAGGAACACCGCCCGCCGGUUACAUCGCUGCAAAACUCCGUCACUUCUGAUCAAAUUGGACAUUGCCAAGGCCUUCGACACUGUUCGCUGGGAUUACAUGCUGGAUCUUUUGCAACGCCUCGGCUUUCCUCAAAGAUGGCGGGCCCUCCUGACGACUCUC
rnacentral:rRNA from 1 species